rnacentral:rRNA from 1 species
GGUUAAGCUACUAAGGGCGUACGGUGGAUGCCUUGGCGCCAGAAGACGAUGAAGGACGUGGCAAGCUGCGAAAAGCCUCGGGGAGCCGCAAGCAGGCUUUGAACCGGGGAUGUCCGAAUGGGGAAACCCAACGUGAUGAACUCACGUUACGGCCGGCUGAAUACAUAGGCUGGUACGAGUCAACCCAGGGAAGUGAACCAUCUCAGUACCUGGUGGAAAAUAAAUCAACAGAGAUUCCGAAAGUAGCGGCGAGCGAAAUCGGAAGAGCCCAAACCGUUGUGCAUGCACAGCGGGGUUGUAGGACCCCAUGAGUAGAGUUACCAAUCCGGAGGCUAGGUGAACCCGCUGGAAAGCGGGGCUAUAAAGUGUGAUAGCCACGUAACCAAAAGCUUACCGGACUCGAAGGGGUAUCCUGAGUACCACGGGACACGCGAAAUCCCGUGGGAAGCUGGGGAGACCACUCUCCAAGGCUAAAUACUCUCUGGCGACCGAUAGUGAACUAGUACCGUGAGGGAAAGGUGAAAAGCACCCCUGCGAGGGGAGUGAAAUAGAACCUGAAACCGUAUGCUUACAAGCAGUCAAAGGGCUAUCUCCG